AGAACAGGUAAUUAGGGCUAAGUCGUAACAAGGUAGCCGUACCGGAAGGUGCGGCUGGAUCACCUCCUUU
rnacentral:rRNA from 2 species